UACGAAGGGGGCUAGCGUUGUUCGGAUUUACUGGGCGUAAAGCGCACGUAGGCGGAUCGUUAAGUCGGGGGUGGAAAUCCUGGAGCUCAACUCCAGAACUGCCUUCGAUACUGGCGAUCUCGAGUCCGGAAGAGGUGAGUGGAACUCCUAGUGUAGAGGUGGAAUUCGUAGAUAUUAGGAGGAACACCGGUGGCGAAGGCGGCUCUCGUGGGCCUUACCUGACGCUGAGGAGCGAAAGCGUGGGUAGCGAACAGG
rnacentral:rRNA from 1 species